rnacentral:rRNA from 2 species
UGGUGGGUAGUUUGACUGGGGCGGUCUCCUCCUAAAGAGUAACGGAGGAGCACGAAGGUUGGCUAAUCCUGGUCGGACAUCAGGAGGUUAGUGCAAUGGCAUAAGCCAGCUUGACUGCGAGCGUGACGGCGCGAGCAGGUGCGAAAGCAGGUCAUAGUGAUCCGGUGGUUCUGAAUGGAAGGGCCAUCGCUCAACGGAUAAAAGGUACUCCGGGGAUAACAGGCUGAUACCGCCCAAGAGUUCAUAUCGACGGCGGUGUUUGGCACCUCGAUGUCGGCUCAUCACAUCCUGGGGCUGAAGUAGGUCCCAAGGGUAUGGCUGUUCGCCAUUUAAAGUGGUACGCGAGCUGGGUUUAGAACGUCGUGAGACAGUUCGGUCCCUAUCUGCCGUGGGCGCUGGAGAACUGAGGGGGGCUGCUCCUAGUACGAGAGGACCGGAGUGGACGCAUCACUGGUGUUCGGGUUGUCAUGC